rnacentral:rRNA from 1 species
CACGUAGGUGGCGAACGUUAUCCGGAAUUAUUGGGCGUAAAGGCUGCGUAGAUGGUGUAGUAAGUUAUCGGUGGCAAAUCGAGGCUCAACCUCGUGGAAGUCGGUAAUACUGCUAUGCUAGAGGAUAGGAGAGGUUAACGGAACUCCCUGUGGAGCGGUGAAAUGCGUAGAUAUAGGGAAGAACACCAAUAAGGCGAAGGCAGUUAACUAUUCUAUUCCUGACAUUGAGGCAUGAAAGCGUGGGGAGCAAAACGG